UACGGAGGGGGCAAGCGUUAUCCGGAUUCACUGGGCUUAAAGGGCGCGUAGGUGGUCAGGUAAGUCAGUGGUGAAAUCUCCGGGCUUAACCCGGAAACUGCCAUUGAUACUAUUUGUCUUGAAUACUGUGGAGGUCAGCGGAAUAUGUCAUGUAGCGGUGAAAUGCUUAGAUAUGACAUAGAACACCGAUUGCGAAGGCAGCUGGCUGCACAAAUAUUGACGCUGAGGCACGAAAGCGUGGGGAGCAAACAGG
rnacentral:rRNA from 1 species